GUAUAUCCUAUCACUGUUAGCACAGACCACUAAGAGAAAGUCAACCUCGCUCUCAUUAUGUAUUCUUAUCUCCUUUCAGUUGAACAUCGAGCAGAUGGCGCCUCCAUAUCAAAGGAUAAUAAUGAUGUAGUUAGGAAAUUAAGGUGUUAUUAAAGUCCAUUAUAUAUGAAGAGGGGAAAAAAAAACAGGGAAUUCAAAAUACAUGGAGGCAUUAGUCGUUCCUUGAUGAUCCCAUCUGUGUGUGUCUGUGUGUGUGUAAGUGUAGUCAAAUGAACCUAUACCAUCCAUUUGAUAUGCCGCAAUAUACACUGAUACUAAUUUGAUGGUUUUCAGUCACCUAGGUCAUACAUCUUGUAACAGUGAUGUUAACUAAGCAAGCGAGCUACGCUGAAGUGAACACCACCUCCAUUACCUGCAGUGUAUAGAGAAAGGCAUACAGCUGAACAGAAGAAAUGUGGAGGACCCUACACUGGUGUCGCAACAGUCCAUGACAGUACACCUCCCUGCCAGUAGAGGUCGAUAUCUCCAGAUAUGUAAUCAGUCGUUAAUUUCUGGUUUGCACUGUACAAGCACGUCUUUCAGUUCAUCUUUGUGAUGGAAUUGUGUAAAUUCUGAACCAUGGUUUUUGUGUUUAAGCUCACAGCCUUCUGUUCCUUGGACGUUUAACUGCUGGACAUCUACAACCAAAUCUGUAUGACUGCCUAAUGUUAUAUUCAUUGGUUUUUAUAAGCGAGUCCACCAACAGUGGCUCUUUGGCAGUCUUGGGUUUUGGAGUCACAAACUUCCAGUCACUUGCAAAAGAAUUAACCAUUAAGCUACCAUCGCUAUAAGUCAAAGCAAUCAUGUUUAUUACUAUCGGACCUAACUAGUGCUGUGUGACUCUAAGCUUAGCUGAGUGCUUUUAGCUCUGAUGAUGGAGCACAGCUUUUUUCACUUUCCAGCAGGAAGCCCACACCUCACAGUCAAUAUCUAUCAAGAAGCUUUUGGCAAAUACCAUUUACAGAGAUGGCCUGGUGUACAUGCCAGCAGGCUUUUUAGGCCUCUUUUUAGAUGCCAUUAUUAACAGAGUGACCAAAACUCUUGCAUUAACA
ensembl:lncRNA